CGCGGCUCGGCUCGGCUGGCGCUUUCACAUAUUGGAGCCACACAAAUCCUUGAGAUUUCUUGUCGUCUUCACUCAAUCAUUUCAUAUUUAUUUAUUUAUUUUUACUUUAAUCUGCGAAACAAUCAUUUGGUGAUGAGUGAUGGAGAUAAUGGAAAAAAGGGUAAAAAGGUCUGAUAAAGUCGCCGGCCAGGCAACAGGUGCCUAAAUUGUUUGGUCUUGACUGGUGUGCAAAGAUAACAUUGAAGAUUAUUGCCUGUCAGAAAUGGGAAGGUACAUUUAAUGGUAGAUAUUUUAUCAUCAUUUCGACUGCUCAGCCCAAAUUGGUAAUGGCUCUAUGUGGGCGUAUGGCCCAUCCAAUUCGAGCCCUUCUUCUUGUCGAUUUGGACUACUACAGUUGUAAAGUAAUGUCAAGAUAUGGCUGCAAGACGAGGCGCGCAAGGUGUUUGAUGAAAUGCGUGAAUGAUUCUAUCAUUCAUUACUGUUGGUGGCGACAUUUCGAAUUCACCCCAUCCCGUGUCAUGUUCGUUUUCCAUGUUUGGUUUUCGAAUGCAAUCCCGAGAAGGGGGUUUAUUAAAGGAAAGUGGAAUAUUUGAGCCUGCAUUUACGUGGAGAGAAUGAGGUAGAUAGUGCUGGAAAAGCAAUGGAUCUUGCUAUCUUGCCAUUGAUGAUUUCUUAGGAGCGUCAAGAGUUCUUAAGAAAAGUUGUUCUUCCUACGCUUGUUUUGCAGCCCUGGACUGUAGACGUAUACAACUACUAAUUUAAGUGCAGUGGGCUCUCAAUUGAACACCAAAAUAAGAACAAACAAAGAAAUCACUGUUUCAUUGUAUAUUCUGCAAUAUGUUGAGUGGCUUUAAUUUUUUGAGUGGCUUUAAUUCGAAUCCUGGAAGUUUAAAUCUUUGUUGGUUUGUGCUAUUUUGUUCCAUUCCUUUAAUAUAUACAUUUUUCAA